AUGUAAAAGGAGCAUAUGUACUAUUUUUAAUACCAUGAAUUAGAAGAGUUUGUUUUUCCAUCUGUCAUAACUAGAAACUGUUUAGAAUGAUUAGAAACAAAGAUGUCAGUUAAGUUUUUAACUGGGAACUAUUUUGUAAUAGUUUUGUCUUCAUAAGUGAAGACUGUAUGUAAGAGUAUUUUAUUAUUCUGUCUUGAGUAUUUUAAUUAAGUUCCUGAGUGUAUGACUUCCCCUUCUGUGCAGGAUUGUACAUAUUGUAUCUUUACAGAUUACAGACAUUUGAGUCUUCCUUUCCCACAGGUGGAGUCAUUGUCAUGAACUUCCUAUGGUGAGGAUGGUAUGGUUAUGUGGUCUUGCCCAACGUAACUUUGGAGUUUCUAAAUUCU
rnacentral:lncRNA from 1 species